CAAAAACUCAAGUGAGAACUGGAAAGAGGAGACUGGGGAUGAGACGAGAGCCGGCCAUAGAUUCCUGCGCCUCUUUAUUCGGAGAAGACAUAAGAUGAUGGCAAUCGAGUGGUGGUGUUGUAAUUUACGCCAACCAACUAAGACGGUCGGGUUAGUCAACGAAGCUAUGUUCGAAGCAUAGAUCGACGAUGGUGAUGCUAGAUCCCAAAAACGUUUUCGAUCUCUGUGUGUGUUCACCUUCUUCGUUUUCCAUUCUGCAUUGCUUAAACAACGGUGAUUCUACCUCCAUCAGUGACAGCAAUGGCGGUAAACCUGCUCUUGAUUCUUCUAGCGACGAGAAAGCUACUGCAAAAAACAUUGAGUGCUUGAUCAUACACAAUCAUUUUGAGGAAGGAUGGAUGGUGUCUCGACCACCCCUCAAGAGAACUUGGAUGAUGUAUGAGGUUCCUAAUUUUGAAGCCUGACAGUCAUCGUGUUCGAUAGGAUAGGCCAUACAGUCAUCGUGUUCGAGCGUGCUGACCGAAUCAGAGAAUUGAUGAUGUAUGAAGUUCCUAAUUUUGAAGCCUAACAAAAUCGACGUGGUUCAAAGACGGCUACUAAGGUUGAAAAAGUCCGAUUUGAAACGAAAAAUGAACUUGCAAAUGAAAGGGAUGCCAGACAAGAGUUGGAGCAAAUAGUGCAUCAGAUGGAAAAAGAAACGAGAUUAAUUUUAAGUGGCACAUGGCACAGUGCAAACAACAGAAAGGCAGUUGGGAAGGUAGGUAUAUGGUAAUCAAACAUAUGAAAGAGUUUAUCGACUCUGUACAACAUGAUUUGGUUAACCCGACUUUGGAAUGAAGAAGGGUAUUUUGAAGAAUCUCAAAUUGAGAAUUUAGUGGUAGAUUUAAUGUCGGGAUUUAUUAAAAAGAUGUUUUGAUCUUGUAAGCAUUAGUUUGUGUUUCAUAUUCUUGUAAUCCCGUAUACUUGAACGGGUUGUUGGGUUGUUUAAUACUAGUUAACUUUUGUCGUGAGCAUGUGCAUUUGCGUGUAAUUGGAAUUAUAUUGGGAAAUAUUACUAAAAUUUCUGGAAUUUUGCA
rnacentral:lncRNA from 1 species